rnacentral:lncRNA from 1 species
AUUUUUUUUGUAGAAGAAGCCCUUUAAAAACUCGUGAAAGAAAAAUACAUGUAGCAGGUACUCAAAUUUAAAUUUGGUAACAAAAGUGAAUCCAAUUUGUGAAAAAUCAGAAUAAAUGACUGUUUGCAGCAUAAGGUACAUAAUAAAAACUAUGGUAUAUAAUAUACUAACGAGGAAAGAACUCUUUAAUUCAGUAAAUGUUGGCAUACUUCUCUAAACUGUCAGCUGUCCCCUCCCAAGGUUUAACAAAAUCUUCCUUCUCAAAAACAAAUCCUGAAAUCAAGAUCCCAACAGCAAGGCACUGAAAAAUGGAAAAUAGAAAACGUUAUGGUCACUCGCAUACUGCUCUUUCACGAAGUGCACAAACAAAAGCAUUACAGCAUAUCUAUCUUAUAAAUUAUCAGCUACUAAAAGUUCACCUUCAAUAAAAUUCUAUAAAAAGAGAACUCACUCCUUGCUUAUGAUUAUGCCCAAGAGGUAUAAAUUCAAAUUCCUCAAUACUGCCAAUUCUUCUAGCCAUUUUGCUUCCUGUGAGUCCAGCUCCAGCAGCUGCCACAGUAUGGCCACUAAACAUGUCAGCAAUGAUUUUAACGACUGAGAGAAGGAAGACAUUGUGAAAGGCAUAAGUCUACGAAGUUGGCAAUAGCAAGAGAAUGGAGAAAUGGAAUAUGAGAAGAAAGGUGGCUGUAAACACAUCAUAUGUUUUUCCAACCUUAUAGACAGACAGAAAAAGAUAUUUUGAUUCUGGUUACAAGUACUUGGAUAUAAAACUCAGGAGUACAAUCCAUUUUCUCUAGAUUCAAUGGACAAUGUACCCAGGCAAUUGGAAAGAUGUUAAUCUAAACUACGCUAUGACAUCCUGACGUCCACUGAAUCUACAUGGAGUCCAGAAGUCUUAAUAUCACAUCAUGUUUAAGAAUUUUAGUAAAAACAAUCUAGGAAGAGCAUAGAGGAUAAUUUCACAUACAGUGAAAGAAAUAUAAUCAGCCGAAGAGAAAAAAAUUGAAGGGAAGAACGUAUCUAAAUAUGUAGAAAUUGCAAGUCCAAUGAUGACUGGCCAAAGGUGAUUUUUGCUUCUAAGUUGAUCCCCUGGAGGAAAUUUUAUCUUGCGGACAGUACUCAUGGACAUAUGCCUUGAAUGACACCCCUCAUAAAUCCAAUAUGUUUUUUCUCCUCAGUCUCCCCUCUCUUGCUUCCCACAAAUCAGAGAAAUUAACUAGAACAGCUGAUUGAAUACAAUAUGUGAGUGUGUGCGUGUCCAUGCAUGUGUGUGUGUGCGUGAGAGAGAGAGGGGGAGAGAGCAACUGUGUUAAUAGUUAGAGAAGAGAGUGCGAAAGUGAGUACAGCACAAUGCAAUGGUUUCAUCCACAUUAAUCAGGCAUAAAAACAGUGGAAAAUCCAGAAGAGGCCACACAUUUUACUGGAUGAGUGUUUUCCAACUAAAAAAUUUAUUCUUUGAAAAAGAAGCAGAUGGAUCAAUUAAUAGAUAAGAGUUAACGGUGGACAGACAGUGAUUACAUACAAGCUAUCUUCCAAUCCUGAGUAGACACAAUUUGCUUAGGAAAUUGUAAACAAAAACAGCACUUCCUACUCACCGUGAUGGUGAUACAGGGUGGAAAGACACUUUACUUUCAUCUAGAAGAAGAAUUGAGGGACAUAUUCGCCACAAACACAUUCCUUCAAAGAGAUGCAAAGCAACGAUCUCAAAAUUGAUUAAAAUUGACAGCUUUAAUCUUAGUUUUCAAUUUUUAGGCAAAAACUUCGUCAGAUUCCAAAAAUUUUGUUGUGCCCAAUCCCCACCCCUCCUGUUUACUUUGUCUAGUGCAGCGCCACGUGUUGUCCAAGAUGUUGUGAUUAUCAAUAGAUAUUCACUGAAGUGCCACAAGACUUAUUAUACAUAGAAUAUAAGAGGAUAUAUCAAGGCAUACAAGAACAUACACAUAAGACAGACGUAAAGUAUUAAAUAAAAUUGACCUUAGGAGCAUAUGUUUUUUGGUGCUAUUCAUACCUUAUAUUUAAUGUGGAAUUUUUUAUUUCGUUAUUAUGUUUCUACUCUAUUUUACUCACUUGCAUUCGUACACUAAAACUUGAUUUUCUUAGGGUAAAAGCUUCAAAGUUGCAAAUAUUAACACCUACUUCCACACCAUCCCCUAGAAAAGAAAAGAAAAAUACAAAACAGAGAGAAUCUAAUGUAGAAAAAAAUACAUGGCCUCAAUGAAAGAGACAUGAAUCUCGGAGUUAUAUUAGUCUGAUUUUUUUGGGUCAUCUCAGUUGGAUCGACCUGAUUUUUGGGAUUUCUACAUUAUAUCCGGAAUCCAAGUUACCCAACUUUGCUCCUCAUAUCCUCACCACGUUCAUUACCAUUAGCCUAGAUCUUCUCUUCUCAUUCAUUUCACAUGAGUUCUCUUUAAAUCUCCAUUUUUUCAGCCAAGAAUGAGAAUUUGCUCCAAGGUCGAAUAGAGGACGGGCUAAAAGUGCAUCUGUACGAACCAGACAAUGUGAAAAGUAUAAACCAGACUUCACUGUAAUGAACCUAUCCUCAUCUUCUGCCUCUUCUUCCUCAUCUCUUCCUCAACUUCCGCCACAAAAAACUGGCUACUACCAAUUUAGGAAAUUCUAGUGCGUCUCUAAACAUGUAAUUGUAGGGAAUCCUCGUUUUUUUCUCACAAAAUGAGUAGCUUACUUGUCAGUCAAAAUAAAUCAUGACUCUUCGAUAUCAGUACUUGAUGCACAGUCACACUGAGUAAAACUGCCACCUCGCUUUUCUAGGCAAGCACUAAACAACGAGGUCUCGUACAGAAAUUGAGUUAACUUUAUUGAUAUUAAAUCCAGGCUCUAAUGAGAAAACUCUGGAGCUAAGCCAUUUGACUUGCACCGUAUACUUGUUAAAAGAGUCACAAAAGAAGACACACUCAGUCCUUGGAUUUUUCCAUCGGAGGACUAUCAGCAAGUUUUCACACUUUUCUUGAUAACAUGAAUAUUCUAUGAGGCAGGGUCUAGUUUCAGAUGGAGGAAAGGGCAAGAGAAGAAUUAAAUAAGUCCUUGGAUGGCAUGUUUCCAGUAGCAUUCACCCACAGUAUAAUACGGCAACCACCUUAAAAGGCACCAUGAACCAUGAAGAAACUAGCUAUUUUCUCCCUGUUGAAUAUAAAUUAUUCUUUCCAACAAAAAGUAUCAUGAAUGUGGAUAUCACAUCAUUUAUUCAAGAGAAAAAAAUAGGCAGAAAGCAAGUGCGUCAAAAUCACCUCCAAAUGAGGCUGCAACAGCCACGGAACCGGCGACUGACCCAGCAGCACUGGCCAUCGCAGCAAAACCACUUGCCCCAAUCACAGGCAUAAGAGUUCCUAAGGUGGGUGCCAGGGCACCAAACCCAGCAGCAAUUGCAGGCGCAGCUAGGCCUGUCAAGUAAUCAAGAAAAAUAUAACUACACAGGCAGAAAUAUAUGGACAGAGACCAUGAAACCAAAGUUUCCUGUUUCCUUUUAUAUAAGUAUGAAAUGCAAUACCUCCCGUGAUAGCUAACAGGGUUCCACCAGUAACUGCAGCUGCUCCAAUAAUACCACCACGUUUCCAUUUAGACCAGGUGCUUUUAUCAGAGUCCCUGUGUUCUGCUUGAGCUUCUUCCUUCGCAGCAGCCAUUGCAGAACACGCAACCAUGAUCUCCAUGGCUUCCUAAAAGCAUCAAUUUCAACAUGAUAAGCCUGGAUGUACUGAGAGUAGCACAUAAACGAAACGAAUACCAACGGUCACAGGAUCCCACGAUAGUCCAGAUAUUUUUCUUUGGGUAAUAAAACCACAGAACUAUCUAAGAAGUGAUAAGCAGACACGAGAUCUGGAAAAUUUACGUGAUUCACUUGGCAACAACAAAACAAUUAAAGUUGUCAAUCUUCAAGGGGAGAGACAAUUAAUCAUGAGAGAUUUACAAGCCCGGUAAGUCCAUAUUGAUACCCACGGGAAACUAAUUUCUUCAGAAGAGUUUUGUCUUCAAAGUUAUGCGAUCCGAAAUGAAACCACUAUACGUGGGUUCGAGUUGCAACCAUGUUCCUGUAAUAUGAUUUGAUUUUUUUUCUAUUUUCAGAUCUAAGUAUCAUACUGACAGAAAUAACCUUAUCCAAUAACAGCAUUUUAAACAAUAUAUUAUGGAUUAGGUGGCACUGGUAAAAGACUAGGAUCACUAAAUAUAUGAGAGCUCUGUCAUGUUACUAUUCAUUUUUUCUAUAUAAUUAUAUAGCACUAUCAAUCACUAUCUCCUAUUAAAACAACACCUCUAUGUUUUCGUUUAAUUCUAUUCCAUGUUUUUACUCAUCCUUUUUCUUCUUAUUUCUUCUUACCUUGCUUUUUAUUUUUCAUUUCUAGUACAACAUGUCAUACUUUUUGUCUUCACCGAGUAACCUAUGGAAUAAACUAAGUUCCGCAAUCCUGACAUGAACAUUUUCCUGUGCUCUUAAUGUAUCUCGUCGAAUGUUCAUGACUGUGCUCAUUUCAAUAGUUCUCCCAAAGAGAAAGAAGCACGGAUGCUUCUGUUAAAAUGGAUCAGAGAAGAAUUCUCAAAGUGGUGGUUGAUGACGAUCAUCAAAUAUUCAAGCAAGCAAUUUAUAAAAUAGAAGUAGACAAGUAGCAUGACGUCCUUUCUUCAAUGCCAGUUUUCUGCUGAAUAUGAUAUAUGGAAAUGAAACACACUCUUGAAGGAAAUUAAUUCAACCGUACUUGCAGCUACACCUCACAACAUUUGAACUGAACAAAAAAAAAAGCUUCUCCUUCCUACGAUCGUUAGUAAGAGUAAGAUAAUAAUAAAUUGAACGAUGUGGAAAAUGGUACAGGUAAAACGAUCAAAGGAUAAUUUAAUGGACACAUUGAUCUUCAAUAAAACGCCCAAGCGUACACGAAAAUGACAGUUAAAGCAGAGACAAACCAUUUUUGUCCAUUUGACAUUGAGCCAUGUGGCUAGCAACCUUAGGGCAACACGGAGUCGAGCAUCAUAACCUUUCCUGUGCCUCGACUGUUCUUUGCGAUCCUGUGGCAGAUCAGCUACACAUGCAGAAAGAAGUUCAUAUAAUACUGCGACUUUCUGCUGAUUAUUUUUCACUGUAUCUUCUUGCAACAAUGAGUUCUCUUGAGAUAAUCCAUCUGCUUGAGAAAGAAAUUCAUCUUUUACAGGCAACUUCUGAUAACUCAGUUGCUGAAUUGCCUCUGAAAGUUUGGACGCCCCAUCUUCUCCAAGGUUUGUAGUACUUGAUGAAACCUCCUUGUGAUGUUCUUGCCUAUAUUUCAAAUAUUCCUCACUAAUUCCUUCAACAGAAGAUAAGUCCUCUUUCAAACUCAUUUCCAUAGCAUCCACACCUUUUCUUAAAGCAAGUGCCUGCUCCAAUCUUUCCGCAGAAAUUUCAUCACUUUCUUCAAAGAGUAUCCUCAGGAACUAGAUGACAUAAAAGAAUCAUAAGAUAAAAAUGUAAGUGCUGAUCAUUGGAGGCAAAAAGCAUGAAAAAAUCACAAGUGCUGAUUUAUUACCACUCAUAGAAAGUAGAAAAAAAUUUGAGAAGAGUCAUGCUCAGAUGUGGAACGAAUAAAUGUCAUCAAUUGAUAUUGUGACUAAUGAAACUCUGCGUAGCAGAAAUUUCAAGAAACCUAUAGCUGUUUAAGAUCAUAUUGACUCAUUCAUGAAGACAUACUAACCCAUCUUCUCAAUAUUUACGACUGAGAUAAGCUUUAAUCCCGACUGGGUGGAGGAGGGGUGACGGGAGAUCGUCCCUGCGGUGGGCAGCGUGGAGCGGAACGCCACCAGAGUCGAUCUGCCACUUUCACUCUGGAUCCUCAAGCGGAAGAAGAAGCCUUCUUCUUUUAAUUCGUAUAUAAUGUAUUCUUUUUGGAACCCUUCCUGGACUGUUUAUGUAAAUCUCUGAGCUGACCCGGCAUAGCAAUGUUCAGUAAAUGACAUAGAACACAGAAGUUGUUGACUUUUUUCAAUUCAAACUUAACAUGUUUGGACGUUAUUAUGAAAAUUUAUAAUCAAUUUGACAGAAAAACUUAAGGUGGCAUUGCAUAUGGAAUCACGGGACUGGUGCUAAUAUUUUGACUGCGAAACUAGCAUCCCAGAAAAUGGAUUGAAUUCCCCAUUAAGUCGAUCAAUAAUGAUGGGUUAAAGUUAUUUUCCCCUUAAAUAGACCAAUUUUCGCUACUUUUUCCGUUAAUUUCUUGUAAAAUUUUUUAUGAUACGAAUCCCUGCACUAGAAGUCGAAUAAGAUAGAAUCGACCAGACUGAAGAAAGAGGAGAAAACGGAUAUAGCCGUAAAGGAACAUAAGGGGAAACUACAAAGGAAAAGACGUACGGCUCCAAUGUGAUUCUUGGCCGGAGAAGAAGCUGCAGUCUCCUCCAAGCCAGGCCAAGCCAUGGGAUCAAUCUCCAAGAACCUGAAGGAGGAAAACGAUCGAUCAAAACCCAUAGCGAAUAGCCAGAUGCAAGAAGCCUCCCAUGAUUUCCGGCAAUCUUUCUACGUCAACUCUCCACUUCUUCAGAAACCAACAGCAAGAGCGCAGACCUGAAGACGGGGCGGAGAAGGCCUCGGGUUUCAUGAGUCCAUAACGCACCAUCGCCUUCGCUGCUCCCGCCGCUGCUGCCACCGCUGCUGCUGCUGCUGCUGCUAUGCCUGUCGGGAACCUCAUCGUCGCCGUCCCCGACGUCCUCAGAGCCCAGUGGGCAGGUCUGGUGGAUCUGCGCCUGCCUUAAGGAGAAGGCAAGGAGUGCCCCCGCCGCAUACCUCUGCGUCGGGCUCAGCACCGACGGCGCCAUAGCCGCUGAUUCCUCUCCCCAAACUCCCUUGUUCUGCCGCCGCCGUCAACCCUUCAAAAUUCCCACGAGGCGCAGGCACCGCGAUCACAGAGCCCCCACUCGAUCUGAGAAGCUCUCCGGCUCCGCAACUCGGGGCUGCGUCUCGCUCCUGCGUCACCCGUGUUGCCGCCACCUCGACCGGCGGGGGACUUCGUCUUCUCCGACUGGUCGUCUGCAUUAAACGCAACGGAAACGUGUCCACGCCCGGCGGAGGAAUUCUUUAUUUCCAGUCACUUAAAAUUUUAAAACACCCCAAUCCCCUCUUGACCGUUUCUAUCGCUGAAUUAAGAGUAAAAGGAAAAGACUAAAUUACCCCCCCCCUUCCCCCCAACACCACCAUUCAACAUGAGAAAUAUAUGGACUAGUCCCAUGGGCCCAAUUGCUCAUGUAAAUUUCUUAUAGGUUUGAUCAUAUCAAGCUGAAGUAGCAUAAGAUAUCAUAUCAAAAAAAUAAUGAAAACUUUUUGAUCUAGGUGACUCAUGCAGCCCAUUUGAAGUUUAAAUCUAGUAAAGCAAAAGGCCAAGAAACAUGAAAACUCAUUAAAGUAGGAGUUGGCCUGAUUACAAAAUUGGGUCCAUAAUACGACACAUUUUUAGAUGUGUUCAAUUUAAGAUUUUCCUUUUUAUUUUUAGCUUUUCUAUUUUGAAUCUCUUUCUAUUUUUAGGUCCUUUUCAUUUUAUUGUCCCCUCUAUUUUUAACUAUUUUUAUCUUCUUUCUCUUACUUUCUUCUUCUCCCUUCUAUUCUCGUCACCUUCUAUCAUUCUUCUUUGACUAUUUUCAAAUUCAGUUUUUAAUUCAAAUGUUGGUGCCCUUUUUUAUAGAUUGCAGCCCAAAAAUUAUUUCUAAUUUUUAUCAAUCUAUUUUCGGAGUUUUAAUCUCUACAAGUAGGUUAUAGUGCCCUCUAUGGACUAAGAAAAUUAUAUGAUCAUGUAGACCCAAGAUCAGACUCUUGUAGACUCAAGGAUCGAGAUCAUUUUAUGAAUCUUCACAAAAAUAUAAUAUUUUUGUAUAUUCAAAGAUGAGAUUUAAAUUAUUUACAACUCGAGUUAUGUCAAAUCAUUCAAAUCAUCACCAAGUUAACUAUGCUACAUCACAAGUUUUCAAUGUAAGGUAGUAAUCAUAGCUCCAUAAUUAAUAUAAUUAGUUAAUAUCUAAUGUUCUUUAUGCUAUGAGCUCCAUUGCCAAUUUAAGACAAUUCUAUGCUCGCUUUCAUAUAAAAUUCAGUUUCAUAGAUAACUAUUCUCGGCCAUGAUAGCACCAUGUGACUUAGAUUUGAGAAUUAACUUGUUUAGAGAGGGGAAGUUGACUUGAGAAUUUGUCACCAAUACAUUGUGAGUGGCAUCUGCUGAUUGUUUUCUACCAAAAAUUUGCAUUUAUGCUAAAUCCAUGUGUUGAUCUGUUGAGAUUUAAUAACAUUAUUAAGGAUUCAACACAUAAUGAGAACAAAAAUAGAAUAAGGUUUCAGAUGGGAGAGGAUGAUUGGAUCCAAAUAUUUCUUUUUAUUGGGGAUAUUAGGUAAUGGAUAACAUUUUAAACAUAACAAGUUAAACAUGCCUAAAAAAGAGAAUACCAUCUUAAUCUUAGAUUAUGGCAUUCAAAACUUUUUGGAGCAGGAGAAUAGCCAUAAGAAAUAUAUUGUCCCCCCAAAAAAGCAUUGUAGUAAUCCAUUAUUGGGUCCACCAAUCUAUUGCUGGGCCUACACAUACAUACAUGUGUUGCCCAUGACACAAGUCAUCUGAGUUGACAAUCUUGGUCUACUUCUCAUGACAAUGUCAAGCCCAAUCAAAAUUACUUCUUCUUGAAACUUCUCCAUUCCUCAUCUCCCAAAGAAGAGAAGAGGCAAAAGUGUACAACCAUGAUCAAGAUUUUAUGUUUAGUGAUUGCACAUAUAGCUUGUCAAUAACCCACAUCCACCUUGACUCAUCCACAUAUUAUGCAGCAACCGAAUGAGCCUGACUAGCCCAAGCCAAGAAGAUCAAAGUGGGUAGACCAUGUAAGACCCCAAUUAGGGUAAUCUAAAUGGCAUGCACAGCUUCAAAUUGCCCAUCUACUCUUUUCCUUCCGUUAGCACUCUUAUGUUUCCUUAUUUGUCAAGGGCAGGAAGAAGUAGCAAAGGUGAAAGUGAAUCUAAGACUUUCUCCAGCCACAUUGAAGCUCUUGAUCCAGGGGUCAAUGGGGACAGACUUCUUUGGGAGCUGGAUAUUAUGUGUUGGGUCAACCCACAUUAUGCAUCACCCACACUCCUUUUCUACGUUGUGCUUUUCUGCACUCUCCUCAUCCUGACUGGCCCCUACUAUACCCGCUGAUCAAACAAGGGGUUUUAUUAAAUGCUCCUCCUUAGUGGACUCCAAGAUUCUAUCUUUAGAAAAGGGGAAUGGACGCCACCCGAAAAAUGUCUGAAAGAAGAAGGUCAGUAAGAUCAUCUGGAUCAACCAUGGGUUCCCCAAUUGGGACACACCAGUGCCCCAAGACUCUGCCCACAAUUUUUUUGGGUAGAUGUGAGUAGAAAAUAAUGAUCUGGGUCUAAGGACAGAGUUCAGCACCAUGAAUAUCUCCCCUUCUUGCUCUGCUCACAUGAGGAAGCAAAUCUUAGCUGCCCAAUAAAAAGGGGAGGGGUAGGGGCAGCAGUCACAAAAAUUCCCCAUAUGAAGAAGUCAAAGCUUUCCAUUAUCGUCCACUAACAUCAAUCACUACCAGCUCUGCAAAAAAGAGAGCAAGCCAAAAUUCACCUCACCAUGAGGAUCAGAGUGACGGCAGCCUGCCAGGAGCGUUGACUGGAGUUGGCAGCAGCUGGAGAUUUUAGGAGGGAUUAAGCACAAAAUACUUAUGUUAGUUCUUCCUCUCAUCCGAAUCAGCAAUGGUCCCUGUUGCUGUGGGCACUACGGGCAUACCUACAAUAAAGAAAAAUAGCUGUACAAGGGUUUUACAGGCGUCGGAAAAUCCGCAGUCAUAUCCUCUCACAGUCGUCUCUGUUCAUCGGAAGUGCAUGUAGUUGCAGGCGUCCCCCUUCUUGCAGUGGCCGCGUUCGUAGAACUUGCAGAUGCCCACGUCCUGCCCUCUUGGCGCCCCCCA